rnacentral:misc_RNA from 1 species
GGACAUUUAACAUGGUAUAAGAACCAAGUUCCCUUUCCUUUGGGUCAUUUCUCACAGGCUUAUGUGGAGGAGGACUGUUAAAAAAAAAUUCUUCUUGAUCACUUUGUCCCACAUUGUUUGCUUAAACCUGGUGUUUCAAAAACGAAGUUGAAAUCAGUUAAAUUCCUCUCAAGUUCCAGUUCAUCAAGCACUUAAAAAGAAUUUUGCCUUCCAAAAAUGUUUUCAUUCUUAGCUUUCGAAAAAACCCUUCACAAGGAGGCCAAAGAAGUAUAGGGAUUUUGAUUCUUUAUUCAAUUGAAAUGUGUAAGCAUGUUGGCCUAUUAUCCUAUCGUCAAAUCAACAUUUUCUAAAUUUAUUUUUUUUUCUUAUAAUUAUUCUUGAUUAUUUCUUUUGUUUUGCUUAUGUAUUUCAUAUAAAAAAUUCUUUUAAGUUUGUUUUCGGUUUGAUUACUACUAAAUUUAAACAUUUUUAUUAUAUUUUAUAAUUGUG